GACCCCUUAGCUCAGUGGUAGAGCGUCGCAUUCCAGUCAAUCUUGUGCAAUUUUGUGCCUCGCGAAGGCCGUCCGUUCAAUCCGGGCAGGGGUCA